AUUAUUCUGGAUCUGGGCCUUGGCAAAUAAUUUGUGACUCAGCCCCCAAAAGCAGUUGCAACAAAAACAAAAAUUGACAAAUGGGACCUAAUUAAACUAAAGAGCUUCUGCACAGCAAAAGAAACCAUCAACAGCAUAAACAGACAACCUACAGAAUGGAAGAAAAUAUUUGCAAACUACGCAUUUUCUCUUCCAUGGAAAAUUAAGAUUUGCUUCCUAACCAUAUUAGGAAGGAGAAAAAAAAAAGUGAAGAGAAAAACAACAACAAAAAAAAUGAAGAAUUGAUGAGACAAAAAUAAGGCUGAC
rnacentral:lncRNA from 10 species